rnacentral:rRNA from 1 species
UGAGGAAUAUUGGACAAUGGGCGCAAGCCUGAUUCAGCCAUGCCGCGUGCAGGAAGAAGCAUCUAUGGUGUGUAAACUGCUUUUGUACGGGAAGAAACACUCCUUCGUGAAGGAGCUUGACGGUACCGUAAGAAUAAGGAUCGGCUAACUCCGUGCCAGCAGCCGCGGUAAUACGGAGGAUCCAAGCGUUAUCCGGAAUCAUUCGGUUUAAAGGGUCCGUAGGCGGUUUAGUAAGUCAGUGGUGAAAGCCCAUCGCUCAAAGAUGGAACGGCCAUUGAUACUGCUAGACUUGAAUUAUUAGGAAGUAACUAGAAUAUGUAGUGUAGCGGAGAAAUGCUUAGAUAUUGCAUGGAAUACCAAUUGCGAAGGCAGGUUACUACUAAUGGAUUGACGCUGAUGGACGAAAGCGUGGGAAGCGAACA